AUUGAACGCUAGCGGGAUGCUUUACACAUGCAAGUCGAACGGAGUGGCGGACGGGUGAGUAAUAUAUCGGAACGUGCCCAGUAGCGGGGGAUAACUACUCGAAAGAGUGGCUAAUACCGCAUACUAUUGAAGCGGCCGAUAUCGGAUGUGCUAGUUGGAGGGGUAACGGCUCACCAGGGCAACGAUCCGUCUCUGGUUUGAGAGGAGGACCAGCCACACUGGAACGGAGACACGGCCCAGACUCCUAGGGGAGGCAGCAGUGGGGAAUGUUGGACAAUGGGGGAAACCCUAAUCCAGCCAUCCCGCGUGUAUGAGGAAGGCCUUCGGGUUGUAAGGUACUUUUGGCAGAGAAGCGGUAUCUGCAGAAUAAGCACCGGCUAACUACGUGCCAGCAGCAGCGGUAAUUC
rnacentral:rRNA from 1 species